UGGGGAAUCUUGCACAAUGGGCGAAAAGCCUGAUGCAGCAACGCCGCGUGAGCGAAGAGGGCCUUUGGGUCGUAAAGCUCUGUCCUAAGGGAAGAAGGAAGUGACGGUACCUUAGGAGGAAGCCCCGGCUAACUACGUGCCAGCAGCCGCGGUAAUACGUAGGGGGCAAGCGUUAUCCGGAAUUAUUGGGCGUAAAGAGUACGUAGGCGGUUCUUUAAGCGCAGGGUUUAAGGCUAUGGCUUAACUAUAGUUCGCCCUGUGAACUGGAGGACUUGAGUAUCGGAGAGGAAAGCGGAAUUCCUAGUGUAGCGGUGAAAUGCGUAGAUAUUAGGAGGAACACCAGUGGCGAAGGCGGCUUUCUGGACGAAAACUGACGCUGAGGUACGAAAGCGUGGGGAGCAAACAGGAUUAGAUACC
rnacentral:rRNA from 1 species